GCCAAUAUCACUCCCCAGUAUUCCCCCUUUCCCUCUCUUCCUCCUUCCUCCUGGUCCUUUCCCCCUACUCUACCGAUCUCUCUUUAAUUUUCAUAAGAUUGCUGUCUACCUUUCUUUUCCUUUUUUUCUCUCUGGCUUUCACAUAUGAGAGAAAAUAUAACCCUUGACUUUCUGAGUUUGGCUUAUUUAAUGUAACAUAAUGCUGUCAAUUCCACCCAUUUUUCUGCAAAUGACGUAAUUUCAUUCUUCUUUAUGGCUGAGUAAAACUCCUUUGUGUGUACAUGUGUGUGUGUGUAUAUAUAUAUAUGUGCCUAUAUACAUAUGUGUGUAUAUAUACAUGUGCAUAUAUAUAUGUGUGUGUGUGUAUAUAUAUAUGACAUUUUCUUAAUCUGUCUUUCAUUGUUGGACAUCUAGGCUGGUUCCAUAAUUUGGCUAUUGUGAAUUGUGCUGCUAUAAACAUGAAUAUGCGUGUAUCAGUGUAGUAUGAUGACUUUAAUUCUUUUUUUUAAUUUAUUUUUUAGUUGUAGUUGGACACAAUACCUUUAUUUUAUUUAUUUAUUUUUAUGUGGUGCUGAGGAUCGAACCCAGGUCCUUGCAUGUGCUAGGCCAACGCUCUACCGCUGAGCCACAACCCCAGCCCUGAUGACUUUAAUUCUUUAGAACUAAGUGGUAUAGUUGGGUCAUAUGGUGGUUUCAUCCCUGGUCUUUUGAUGAGCCUCCAUACCAAUUUCCAUAGUGGUGCAUGAAUUUAAAGUCCUACUAACAGUAUAAAAGUGUUCCUUGUUCUCCACAUCUUCUUCACAUGAUCCCACUUAUAUUAUACAAAAUUUGUAUUUUUCUGUGUGUAUCAAAACAUCUGGAAGAAUAUAUCUGAAAUAAUAAGAUUAUCUCUAGAUAUCAGGCUGGUUUCUAUUUCUUCUUUUUUAC
rnacentral:lncRNA from 1 species